rnacentral:piRNA from 1 species
GAGUGGAUCUUGGGCCAGAGGUUGC